rnacentral:lncRNA from 1 species
UGAGACUGCAGCUUGAAAGGUAGCUACAUCAAUCUGAAAAGUUGGUGUUUGGUUGAUGGGUUAAUUACUUUUCUUCGGCGACAUGAUUCUGUAACACGAAAGAAAAAGGAUUUUGUGAGCGAUAUUGGUUGACCCUAAAUGUACUUCGAUCGCUUAUGUAAAGAGUAAGAGUAUGUUCUCGAAAGUUUGACCUACAUCCCUAUGAUGUAGUCCUAGUACAGAGUAGAAGUAUGUUUGUAGAGUGGUCUUAAGACGUUUGUCGUUCAAGCCGAGGUAUCGUUGGUUGGUGAAUAACAUGAUCCCACCACUAAAAGGGACUUCGAAAUGUCUCCGGAGUUAAAUUUCUAUAGUCCAAUGACUUGACUAAAGCAUGUUUCAGAUAGACUCCAACGAAGGUAUGAUGAGGGUUUUUGAACAAAGAGUGACACGGAAAUUAGCCGACUGUCAAUAUCAUCGAUGUUUAAGAUGUAAUAAGUUUUAGGAAAAUUUGAUCUUGAAGAAGGUCUUACAUUAUAUCCGGAGUAGAAAGGUUUUGGCCACAUAAAGGCCUAACUAACAGUACUUACAGUACAAGAUAGUUACAUAGAAAAACGCUACAUAAGACAUACACAGGGAAACGAUUCAUUUAAACAAGGAAGGGAAAUAAAGCAUUUCUUACUGGCGGCGGUUGUCCUUCUGGCAAAUUCUCAGUUCAGCCAAUUGAUGUUUCAUAUCAAGAAGGUAUCUUUCGUACACUCUCUGGCGUACUCAUAGCUGUAUGACUUCGGCUCGUGUUUUAGCUAAUGCUUGCAGCAGGGUCUCAUGGUCUCUCUCAGAUCUCUCACGAGUGUUUUCAAGAAGAUUGGUGUAGAUGGUGUGCAUUCUUGCAUUGGAAUUUAACCUCCUCGGUAUAAUGGAGAGUCGUCCUGCCCUGAAUUUCGUUUCAAGCAACUCUAUGGAUCAGGAUUGGUAAAACUUUGCCUGCUGAGCUCCCUUCGCUUAAGUUGUAGCAGAUUCGGUCUCCUUUAGACGGCAUAGGUUGAUCUUGCUCUCCGCUCCAUGUUUCCAAGCAUUCUACCCCAGGAAGCAUCGAGCCAUGAAGAGCUGGACGAGGGUUAGGAUUUGAAUUGGGAGUUACCGGGGGUAGGUUCUCAUCCUCGGGUUCGAAGUUAUCAUCAUCCGAAAGGUCUUCAGCGUGGUGAUCAUUCAAAAGGGAUUGGAUGAUCAUUCUCUGGUUCUUUUCUGAACCAUCUCGCAUUGCCUUGGUUCGGGAAGUACGGGUCGUCAUGGGGAUGGGGUCCAACCGUGUUAUCUAUGCGAUAAUUGGGUUAUAAGAAUCUAACACAUAAGUAGUUUAUAGUAAUACACAAAAUACUCCUAUAGUAUUUUAGGUUUAUGUUCUAUUGUUCUCAUUGUGGUAUUGUGGGUAGGUUUUUAGACUUGUUGCAACUCACAACCACUCUUAGGCACAUGCUAGUCAACCCUCAGAUAAUAUAGUUGAUCAGGCUAUAUCAUCCCAGUUUUGACUAUAUGUCUCUAAGUCUACUUGUGCUGCCCAACAAUCGUAAUACUUUUGUUCUGUCCUAGUGACACUGAUUUUAGUAUAAAUGUAGGCAUGUAUGCUCAAUUAAAUAUUUUUAUUAUUUUAAAAGUAUAGACUCUUUAUCAGAGUAUUUUAAUCCCUAUUGUAUUUAUAGUCUGUAUAUCUUUUAUGGGUUGAUAUACUCAAUUCACUAUAAACAAUGCACUGAUACCAAUCUGUCACACCCCAAAGCCAAGAACGGCGGAAACGUUUUGGGGCGGAGGACGUCAUGUAAUGUAUCACAACAAUGCAAAGUAGUAAACAAGCAACAACAUCAUCCAUUGCAUUAAUAGUAUAAUUUUAAUUACAUUGGAGUUCUUUCAUAGUAUAAUUCUACGAAAUGAAUAUUCAAAAUAAAAGACGAGUCUUGACCGCUCCGUCUUCACAGAACCUGGUAGUCGUACCUGUCUAUCUAUGUCUUGGGAAUACAAGUUAUUUUGAAAGCGAGUAUCAACAAUAAUGCUGGUGAAUUCAUAAGUGUUGAUGUGACUUUGAUUUGUAAAGUUGUAAAGAAAGACCUGUAAAUGUUUGAAGGAAAGUUUGUACCAAUGAACAUGUUUGUAAGUAAUUGUAAACGUUUGAAAACCCUAGAAAAUCCCAUAUUUUCUACUAGUAUAAAAAGUAGCCUUCUACCAAGACCCGACUGUUUUGAAUGUUUGCUUUUAGAAAUCCAAUAUUUGCUUAUAAGUGGGUGGUAGUUUAAAAGUCCCAGAAAUGAACUACCAUGGUGUUUUUCAUGUCUAAAAUAGUAGAUUUGUGUACGUAUAUAAUCACUAAGGUAUUUGAUAACCCCGUAAAUCAACGUGUUUUUAAUACUCCAUGUGAGUUUUAUAACCAUGCUAAUGACCCAGACUGCCUGUAACAACGUUCUUCAGGCGUUGGAAAGUUAUGACGUUUGUCACCCCAGACCUACCGGUCUAACUGUAGCUAACAGUUUAGGUGCGAGAUUUUCAAUCCCGUAUAGAUCUAUACACAAGUAUCACGCUCCCCCUACAAGGGAUUAUGGUAUAUAAUACAAGACUUAAUAAUGCAUACUCGAAAGUACGUGAAACGUCUCACAAAAGCUAGUAUAAAACAGAUUUACGUAUGAAAAUGUCCAUUUGUUCUUGUAUAUGAAAAUAUCUCUUUGAUACGGUACUUGUAAUAUUUAAAAUUUCAUGAAUAUCUAGUACACUAUCUUAUGUAAUCGUACCUCUUGUAAUUGUAUGUCUUAAAAUUGUAUGUAAUCGUAUCUCUUCAUAUAGUAUGUAAUGUAUUUGUAUAGACUCAUGAAUAAACUGACUCUUGUGUGAUCCCUUGUACUUGGGAUGGUAAGUAGUAUCUCCUAACUAUACCUAUUAUAGUUUCUAGUAUUGUAUGUGUAUAACCGAAAUACGCCUUUGCUACUCAAAGGUACUGAACUAACUGACGGAAACUUUUAUGUCUAUAUAUGUACUUAUGAUAUAUAUAACUAAUAUUUAGACGACAUUCGGACGAAUAACUGAUGCCCUAAAGCCACAUCCCAACGAGGAAAAGGAAAUAAACCGAGCUAGCCGUCCUAAGUCCUUCAAACAUUACUUAUAUAAUGAUACAGAUAUAGGCAUGCAUUUGCCAAUAUAAAAAUAUAAAAGAAGUUUUGUAAAACCUUUGAAAAGUUUAAAAAAAUAAGAAAUGAUGACUUGAUGUCAGUUUUUAAAACGAUUUGAAAGUAGUUUGUUUAAUAAGAACAAUUUUAAAUAUAAGAAGACCUUUGUUUGAAACACGAUUCUAACAGCGUUUGAAAGGAAGCAUGAAGUAUGUAAGACAGUUUGAUAAAGAGUUUUUAACAUGUAAAAAUGUUUGUCGUAUACUAUUAUAGUUUUUCCAAAAGUUUGUUUCGUUUGUAUAGUAAACCCUAAUGAAAUGCUCACUUGUUAUGUAAAGUGUAGCUUUUGUAGUGACAUAAAUGAACACAUAUACUCAAAGUAUAAAUAAAGUGUUUGAUUCGUAUAUGUAUAGCAACAUAUUUAAUUUCAAAAGACAAGAUGUUAUCGUGAUAUAUUUUGCGUAUGAAAGGUACCACGUGGUAGUUAUGAAUCACAUAUGACUUACUUGAUAAAAAGAGUAUAUAGUGAAACUUUAGGUUUCACACGAUAAUAAUAGUGUGUUUACUUGUAUUAUCCCCCCCCCCCUAAAAGUGUAUAUAAAAGUAUUGAUAACACAUUUAAAAAUGUAGUUUAUAGGGGUAUGAACUCACUGAAGAAAGUGCGUGAUUUGAAGAAAAUGAGCUUUUUCUCGGGAGGCGCCUCGACCGGAAAGUGACGAGUUUUUCGAGAAACUCGGGACUUCGGAUCUUCGUCGGGGCUUAGAUAUGAAACCGGGAAGUCAGGAUAUUGUCGGCAUGAAAAAUGAGGUGAAAAUGUGAGAGAAGUGAAGAAAAUGAGCAAGGAUUGUGACAACCCAAAGUUAUUCCGUUACAUUACCCCGUUACCGUUAAAGGAAUAUUCCGCUGUAUAAAAGUUCCGUUAAUAAGAGGUCGUCAAAUAAAUAAACGUUAUAUUUAUUUAUGUUUUAUGUCGUUAUAGUCGUAAUAAAGUAAAUAAAAACACUUAAAUUACAUUUCCAUAGUAAUUUGGAAAAAGUUAGUUUUUAUUAUUACGACCACUAAAUCGGGUGCGACCAAAAGCCCUGUAUAACGGUAGUAUCGGGUAGAAUCCCACUGAGCCCCAACUCCAACCCCUAUAUAAGGGUGAGUGGAGUCCAUUGGAGACUUUUUACACUCUCCCCACUCUCUCUCUCUCUCUACAACUUAAAUUCGAGCCAAAAAUCGUCCGUUUCGAGCCCCAAACGAGUAGGUAAACUAUCCUAACUCGAUGUAUAACUUAUCUAGCGUACAAAUUCGAGUUUAAAACAUAAAAUAGGGACAAAAUCAUGAGUUUAUGGCCGAAGAACACUCUUGGGCCGUGAACACCAUUUAAUGGGGUUUUUAAGCCCCAAAACCCCUCCAAAUUGCCCCUAAGGCUUAGAUAUGACUAUUAGGCUUACAUAUUCAGACUUAGAACACCUUGAAAUGAUUUUUUGAAGAGUAAACAUGAGUUUACUGCCCAAGAACAUGCAUGGGCCGUAAACUCCUCUUCAUGGGGAGUAAACUAAAGAUUUUGUGCUAGAAAUGCCCCAAACACCCCCCUAUUGCCUUGCAAAAAUACCUUGAAGCAAUACCAACAUUGUAGAAGCCUUAAACUUCAAUAAAACUAGGGGAGUAGGAUUUCACGGCCAUGACCUCCCAUAGGGGUGGUUCAUGGGCCGUAAACUCCCAAUUUAUGCCCAGAUGGUGCCCUAAACUCCCCAUUUGACUUGGAAAAAUGCUUAGGAAUUUACCCUCUACCAUUUAAGACUUGAAAACACAAAAAGAAUGAGUGUAUAGGAGCUUACGGCCGUAAGCACCCUUGCUUAGGGUCGUAAACUCCUCAAUGGUCCAUGUGAAGCCUUAAAUCAAUUCAUACAAGUUAGAUUUGGACCUAGAAAAAUUCCACGAUCGAUAUUAAGCCUUUACACAUCCUAGAACACUAUCACCAUGAGUUUACGACCGUAAACUCAUGGGAGUUGUCCUAGGGCCGUAAACUAAGUGUAUAGAGUUUACUCUUGGAGAGUAAACUCCAUUCCUAAGUCAUUCAAGCCCUUAAAUGUUACCCGGGACACCCCAAACACUUAACCAAAGUGUUUUCCGCUCCUUAGAGUGCGUAUACAUGUUUAAUUAGUAUUAAAUGUACUAAUUGUAUGUGAACAUAUGUUAUCAUAUGUUAAAUAGGUCACUAAGUGUAUCCAAGUAUUUACUUGACACCGAGCACCCAACCGGCACCUGCGUCGGAUCCACUUACAUCCGGUGCGUUCAUACCCCUUAAUGAACCUUUUCAAUGUUCUUACAUGUUUUAUAGGGGGGGAGGGAAUACAAGUUAAACAUGACAGUUAUCAUAUCAAUCACAGGUGAUUGAUAACCCGCAUGCACAAGGAUUUACCACACUGUAAACUGUUUUACCAAGUAAGACACUAUAAAUGGUUUUCUAAAAGGUUUUCACUUGUUUCAAAACUCUUACUUAUGCUGUUUUAUGAAAGUUAAUUUUGAACUAGUUUAUGAAAAGUUUCCAAGGGAUUUCUAAAGGUUUUUCAUACUUAUUUUACAACAGAAUACCCUGUCGUGAUUUUCUCAAGAAUAAAGGUUUUCUUCCAUGUUUUGAUACUCCUCCUUAGUUAAAGUUCCUACUUGAUAACGCUUUCACUUUGUGAUGCGUUUAUACCUAUUAUUACCUAUACUUCGCUUAUACUUGUGAUAGCUUAUACCUGUUAGACGCUCUUACUUCACUUGUAGUCGCUUCCACUUCGUGAUAUACUUAUACCAGUUAACGCUUACACUUCACGAUCCGGUUAUUCCACACUGUUCGGUUAUUCAUCAUGAUACGAUUAAUCCACACUGUACAGGUAUACUUCACGAUCCGGUUAUUCCAUACGAUUCGGUUAUACUUCACGGUAUGAUUCCACUUGUUACACACUCAAGCAUAGUUAGAUGUAUGUUUGUGCUUGUUUAGAUGCAUAUAAAUAAUGAUUGAAGGACUUAGGAAGGCUUGUCCGCCCUAUUUCCUUUUCUUCGUUGAGAUGUGGUCUGGUGGGAUCGAAUGUUCAUCCGAAGUUCGUUUGAUUCAUUAGUUAUAUAUUAUGUACACAAGCAUAGACAUAUAGGUUUACAUUAGUCAGUUCAGUUAAGAGUCUCUACCACCGGUUCAACACUUACAUUGGAAACCCUCUACCCACUAUUUGGGAUGCAUCUUCGGGACACGGCCUUCUCCGUCGUCUAGUUGGUAACCAGAGUCUCUUGUAGGGAGAGCGGACAUUGUGUGUAUAGAUCUAUACGGGAUUGACACCCCCGCACCCUGACUGCUAGCUACAGUCCACGGCCUACCAAGCCAAGGGGUGACAAAUGUCACAUUCUCUAGACGCUUGUAGGGCGUCAGGUACUCUAGUGUCGGUUAGUAUGGUUANUUCUUGGCCUUAAGGUAAUGGCUUUUCACCAGCAAUUUACAUUGUAUGUUGGAACUCACUCUCGGAGUCACAUUGUUUUAGACCUUGCUAGACGUAUCAUUCAUUUGAUACUGUCUAGGGUUUGCAUUCACUGUAUUCACUAUAUUCACUGUACUCACUGUUUUUAGACCUUGCUAGACGUAUCAUUCAGUUGAUACUGUCUGGGGUCUGUGUUCACUGUUUUAGACCUUACUAGCUAUACCUUUCAUUUGGUACUGUCUGGGGUCUGUGUCUCUUUCUGUUAGACUGAGCCAGGCGUGUCGUUCAUUCGAUACUCUCCUGGAGUCUAUGAUUCCUUCCGCCUUAGUCAGCAGUCCUCACUGCUGAGGCAUAUGUUAUUUUCCCUGAUAUUCUCCGACUUUCUUAAAAAGCAAAUCUCGUAUUUUGAAAAUGAAAGUGUUUAAGGGAAAACUACUUUUUACCACAUAACUCUGACCAGUCUUGGUAGAAGACUGCUUUUUAAUUAGAAAAUAUAGGAUUUUCUAGAAAGGACUCUAUUUCACUGUAUACUUGAAAACUAUCACAUAUAAAGUUAUUUGAUUAAAAUGUCACUAAAUGCUUAUUAACUCACUAACAUUUGUAAAAAUGCUGAUACUCGCUUUUCAAACAACUUGUAUUCUCAGGUUUACAUUAGACAGGUACAUCCCCAGAGCUGUUGAUGAAGAUAGCUUAGUACCAUGCUGUACUUAUAUUUACUUGUAUUACUUUGAUGUAUUGUAAUGUAAAACUAUUACUAUUAAUGCAAUGGUUGUUGUACUUUGAUUACUAUAAUGCAUCUGUUGUGAUACUUGACAUGACGUCAUCCACCCCAGAACGUUUCCGCCGUUCCGGUUUUGGGGGGUGACAGAUUGGUAUCAGAGCAUUGUUUAUAGUGAGCUAAGUAUAUCAAUUCAUAAAAGAUAUACAACCUAUAAAUACAAAGGGAUAAAACACUCUGACCAAGAAUUAUACUUUAAAAUAUAACCAUAUUUUACCAAAGUAUAAGAACAUCCAGAACCUAAACACUCGAACAAAAGUAUCACAAGAAGAACAAUAAGAAAAGUCUUCGGAUGUUGAGCACUACAGUCAAACCUGGGCAGUUAUGUAAUCGUAAGCUGGAAUAAAUGUAACCUGAUCAACUACAUUUAUUCAAGAUGCGAUGAACGUGUGCUUGGGAGUGAUAGUGGUGUUGCAACAAGUCUGAAACUUACCAACUAGGGAUGCUAGAGCCAAACAUAAAGUUUAAAAAUACUAUAGGAGUAUUUUGGAAUACUAAAAGACUCACAAUAAUCCCAGAAUCAUAAUCAGGAGAUAAGGAUCAAACAAGAAUUAAAAUAUCAUAAGGGUAUUUUAGGAUCCAUAACUAACCUUGUGUGAAGAACUAAAAAGAUCCUUAUUGAUAUACCUACAAUUACAGAGAGUAUACUCCCAUGAUUAUAUAUAACAAGGAUCCCAUAGGCUAAGAAUGUGUGGUUUCGCCCUAUUUCCUUUUCCUCGUUGGGAUGUGGUUCUAGAGUAGUAUCACAUAUUCGAAGGCCUAUCGGAUCUAAGCUAUAUAUGAUUUGUAUACCCUGUAUAAUCGUAGCAGGACUCGAUAUGGACCAUCCAAUGAAAUGUUAAUAAUCUCUUAGGAUUCUUUAGACAUUUCCAUUCUCGCACGAACCCUAUAGAAAACCCUAUCCACUUCAGUACUUGACAAAAGAGUUGAUUCCGGCCCCGAAGAAGUUCAUUGAGAAGAUUUCCAGUUCGGAAAUAAAUGAACUGGGUUGAGACUAUUGAAUUCACCAAGUGCCUAUAUCUUUUAGGGACAGUGGUGAGAGAUUCGCCUAAACUUCCGAGAUUCCAGUCAUCCAUCAUGAAGUGAUGACACUCAGAGACGGAAUCAGAAGAAAGGCGGAGAAGAAAUUCAAUGUCCAUACGAGGAGAGAACCCUAGGUAACUACCCGAAGGAAGCCAACGUCGAUUCCAGUCAAAGAUACGAGGCAGACAAAGGGAGCCAAUACAUGGAACCCAAGAAGUGUCUUAACCUCGUGUUCGUCACGCUAAUACACCCUUAAAAUAAUACAAUUUAGUGAGUUAGUGGUUACACUACUCACGCUUAUGUCUUAGGAAAAUCGUCGUUUCCCGUUGCCAGUCACACGAUUAGAGCAGAUCCCCGCACCUCUAUUGAGAGUAUUUAGCCAUAAGCCUUCAUGAGCCUCUCUUUCCGCGGUUUCGUUCCAAACUGUUCUCAAAUCUCUCCAGGCCGGAGAGUGAAACCUUUCCCAGUAUAAAGGUAACGUAGUAGGAACGACUCGCAUCUUAUGGUCUUUUUCCGAUACUCAUACCCCUACCUUUCACACCAGGACUACAUCAUAGGGAUGUAGGUCGACACUCAGGCAACCAAUACCUGAGGCAUGGGAAAAAUUAUGCCUAAUACAGUCAGGACAGAUAUGUCCAGGGCUAGCCAUCAUCUCUCAUUAUCUUGUGUUCCUUUCAGUGUAGGAAAAACCAUGCCUCUGAAGAAGCAUAACCAGUCCGCAAGCAAGAAACCUACUCUCCUGUUUGAUGAAGCUACUUUCCGGGCUGCGGUCUCGACAGCCGUUGCAGCUGCCAUGGCUCACUUGAAUGCUAACACUGCCAAUGUUAGCAAGGGCCCUGUNGGAUUUCCAACCCCAACAUUGGACCGCAGCAACCCACACUUCCAUGCCCGGCCAUUCAAGAACCUCAACCAGCCCCACUAAAGAGAAAGUUCAAAAACGAGGAAGGAAGUACCUCGGCUCAAGGACCUUCCGAAGGGCAACGAGCUGAGGCAGUCAAUACCCCUACCAACCCUUCCAUCCCAACACCUACAAGACCAAACCUAGAAAUCCAACCAAUGAUGACAGUCACGAGCAGGCAAACUGGUAAAACAGAGAGAAGGAAACGGAAUCGUCACGCUCGAAAGGAGCGCCAACGACUCCACAAACUUGCUGCGCAACAACAGCAAGUGGAAACUCCUACCCCUCCAGCGCCAGCAUGACCCCUUUCACAUGUCCCCGGCAUCGGGUCCAACCCUACACACAAUAGUGAUGUCAAAGUCGGACUCUUUAAUGGGAAAUUUUCGAAGUGGAGAAACGAGGAGGGCACUCGUGUCCAUGUAACUUUGACUAAGCACCUCACUCCUACCACCAAUACCAGAACGAACCAGCCAUGUCAUCAGUGCGGUGAGACGGGACACCUCAAAAGGGAUUGUCUAAUAAUAAAGAACUUCGGCGCAGACGGGAGGAUACUGGAUCACUGCUGCAGGAGAAAUGACAGGGGCACAAGAAAAGUCUAACUCUAAUGCUUAGGGAGAAGCAUCAAGGAACCCGGUGGAUUUUUGGUACGUCUUUCGAUCUCAGAUAACUAAACCGAAAACAUUAAAUGACUAAUUCAUAAUGUAAAUACUUCCCCAUUAAGGUGAAAGUCGCAGCACUGUUAUAAAAUUUAAAAUUCAUCAGGUAAAACUAUAAUGGCUAAACAUAUACGUUACGGCCAUGUAUAAUUAAGAUGGAUAGACCUAGAGUGAGUGAAUGCCGCCUCAUUUCCUAUUCCUCGUUGGGUUGUGGAUUUAGGGCGGAGUCGCUCAGUCAACAGUCCUCCCCACCUUAACUAUACAUGACUACUAUAUGUUAGGCGAUUAUAGAAAUGCCUCGUGAGAAUCCAUCCAUGAAAAGGUACUCCACUCGGAAACACUUAGGACUCUCUAUAGUUCUGUGUCGACUCUAUCGGUCCAAGUAUCCGCGGCAGUGAUAUACAGGACGAAACCCGAGAUGCCUAGAACUUGUGUGCCUGUUCGGCGCAUGACUCUAUCGAUCUUCACUUUAUGUCAUGUCAUAGUAUGCCAACUUCGACGACUCUAUCUAUCAUGGUUUGACGUAGUUCAACCAUGUGUACAUCCUUAGUUCUGUGUAAAAAGAACUUUCUCCGUAGCCAUGUCGGCAAAUAAAGGUUCUUCCGAACCUAAACAAAAUAAAAAUAAUAAAGACUAAUGGGAUCCGUUAGUCGUCAUUUUUAUUUCAAACCUUCCGAAGUACCCAGGAGAGGGGUACCGCGCACUGUUAACCAACCCUCCUUAGACGGAUAGAAACCGAAGCGAAAGGCACUGCAUGCACUCCAGAAGACAAUGACCAUCCGAAGCAUACUUCGUAGAUCCCCAAGAAAGACCCUUCGCAUCUCGCACACUAGGUUCGUGAACCCAGAGAAUAGAACUCAUAGGAAUGACCACUAUAACCAGGUAUAUGCAAAAAGGUGGUAUAUAGUUGAGAUCCAAAAGAUUUAAGAUGUGUGCUUCCUCCCUACUCCCUGUUCCUCGUUGGGUUGUGGGUCUGGGGUGGAGUCGCACAACUGCACAUCCUGCCGACCUCAAUUAUAUACGGCUUGCAUACACCGAGUAUUAGUGAUUAAGCCGAGUAUGAGCUCUACCACGAACCUCAUAGUAAAGCCCUUCAUCCUAUUCCAUAAAAUAGGAGUUGGAGUCAAGAGAACCACUGUGGGUUGACCUACUAUAAUGACCACAAAUCCGAAAUUUGUUGUCAUCCGGUUAAGCCCAAAUAGUAGCUAACACCCUCAGUUAGUAAAGGGAUUGAAGUUCCGAGUAAUGGAACCUAUACUCACUAGAUUUGACCUAGACCGAGAAAACUCAGAACCUUCGGAAGAGUAGUUGCUGAAGACGUGCGCACUACUCAGGCACUUCGUCCACCCCGUUACAGACAAGUAGUGUCUAGGAUCCUCCGCCCCUCGCAUGGAGGAAAUCGUCGUCGCCCUGUAGACGAUAGACUUCAUUCUCUGAAGUGAACACUAGAAUACCGAGAACCACAUGAUAACCUCCGCAGCCAAGAAUACUUGAUCAAAGUGUGGAAGUAGUUGCAUUAAGCCUCAUGACCCAGAUCCCGAAGAGAUUAUGGACUUGACACAGCCUUGGUGUUAGUCGAGGGGUUAUGCAGGAGCAUGCGCUUUCCGCACCAGAAUAAACCAAAGUUUUAGAGAUUAAAUGGACUACUAGGUGUUCCAUGAAUACUAUCUCGCGCAGAAAUAGUAGAACCAUCUCCUGAGGUAGUCCAACACUCGUUUGGUGAAACCCUAUCUCCCCGACCCCGAGGGUUUCCGUAUCUCUAGAAUCGUUAGUGCAAGUUCAUUUAGCAUGAGCUUGAGAUAGACACUCUACAGCAGACAGAUAACCGUAGAUACGCAACCCAUCCGAUGACCUAGAAAGCCUCUAAAAGCCAAUUGAAGGGAAAACACGAAACCAAAGACAACCCGAGAUUCCUAAGAACCAACCCGAAGGACUACACUACCAGUACGAGAGAGAACGUUAGGAACUUCGGAAUGGCGAUCACGCCAGUGAUGGUCUUGCCAUAGAAGUACACUAUGUUCUAAGUACUGAAAAGCUCUACCCUUCCGAGAGCUUUGGACCAUCCGAGAUCCUUUACGGAGAUUUGGUCCAAUCCUUUUCAGACCACUACUACUUUCGGAUAUUCCACAAGUUUCACACCCGAUCGAUCCACUCCUAGACUUGAUCAGUGUUGCCCGACGUCACUCUUCGUAUCCCACUCAUCUUGAUAGAGACCAUUGAGAACAUAACCUCGUACAUACACCAGUCGGAAUCCACUAACUACACGAGACGGAAUCCGCAUCCCGUAGGUGAAGGUUUGUUGGGAUGACAAAUACAAACCAAAGAUUCACAGGGGAAUGCGAGGACAAACAGAAUAGGAAGUACUCUCCUGCCUCUACUCGGUCAUUCAUAACUACUUCCUUGCCUAGACCUGAAUUUCGGGACGAAAUUCCCUCUAACGGGGGGAUGAUGUGACAACCCAAAGUUAUUCCGUUACAUUACCCCGUUACCGUUAAUGGAAUAUUCCACUGUAUAAAAGUUCCGUUAAUAAGAUGUCGUCAAAUAAAUAAAUGUUUUAUUUAUUUAUGUUUUAUGUCGUUAUAGUCGUAAUAAAGUAAAUAAAAACACUUAAAUUACAUUUCCAUAGUAAUUUGGAAAAACUUAGUUUUUAUUAUUACGACCACUAAAUCGGGUACGACCAAAAGCCCCGUAUAACGGCAGUAUCGGGUAGAAUCCCACUGAGCCCCAACUCCAACCCCUAUAUAAGGGUGAGUGGAAUCUAUUGGAGACUUUUUACACUCUCCCCACUCUCUCUCUCUCUCUACAACUUAAAUUCGAGCCAAAAAUCGUCUGUUUCGAGCCCCAAACGAGUAGGUAAACUAUCCUAACUCGAUGUAUAACUUAUCUAGCGUACAAAUUCGAGUUUAAAACAUAAAAUAGGGACAAAAUCAUGAGUUUAUGGCCCAAGAACACUCUUGGGCCGUGAACACCAUUUAAUGGGGUUUUUAAGCCCCAAAACCCCUCCAAAUUGCCCCUAAGGCUUAGAUAUGACGAUUAGGCUUACAUAUUCGGACUUAGAGCACCUUGAAACGAGUUUUUGAAGAGUAAACAUGAGUUUACUGCCCAAGAACAUGCAUGGGCCGUAAACUCCUCUUCAUGGGGAGUAAACUCAACUUUUGUGCUAGAAAUGCCCCAAACACCCCCUAUGGCCUUGGAAAAAUACCUUGAAGCAAUACCAACAUUGUAGAAGCCUUAAACUUCAAUAAAACUAGGGGAGUAGGAGUUCACGGCAAUGAACUCCCAUAGGGGUGGUUCAUGGGCCGUAAACUCCCAAUUUAUGCCCAAAUGGUGCCCUAAACUCCCCAUUUGACUUGGAAAAAUACUUAGGAAUUUACCCUCUACUAUUUAAGACUUGAAAACACCAAAAGAAUGAGUAUAUAGGAGCUUACGGCCGUAAGCUCCCUUGCUUAGAGCCGUAAACUCCUCAAUUGUCCAUGUGAAGCCUUAAAUCCAUUCAUACAAGUUAGAUUUGGACCUAGCAAAAUUCCACGAUCGAUAUUAAGCCUUUACACAUCCUAGAACACUCUCACCAUCAGUUUAUGGCCGUAAACUCAUGGGAAUUGUCCCAGGGCCGUAAACUAAGUGUAUAGAGUUUACUCUUGGAGAGUAAACUCCAUUCCUAAGUCAUUCAAGCCCUUAAAUGUUACCCGGGACACCCCAAACACUUAACCAAAGUGUUUUCCGCUCCUUAGAGUGCGUAUACAUGUUUAAUUAGUAUUAAAUGUACUAAUUGUAUGUGAACAUAUGUUAUCAUAUGUUAAAUAGGUCACUAAGUGUAUCCAAGUAUUUACUUGACACCGAGCACCCAACCGGCACCUGCGUCGGAUCCACUUACACCAGGUGAGUUCAUACCCCUGAAUGAACCUUUUCAAUGUUUUUACAUGUUUUAUAGGGGGGAAUACAAGUUAAACAUGCCAGUUAUCAUAUCAAUCACAUGUGAUUGAUAACCCGCAUNAUCACAGGUGAUUGAUAACCCGCAUGCACAAGGAUUUACCACACUGUAAACUGUUUUACCAAGUAAGACACUAUAAAUGGUUUUCUAAAAGGUUUUCACUUGUUUCAAAACUCUUACUUAUGCUGUUUUAUGAAAGUUCAUUUUGAACUGGUUUAUGAAAAGUUUCCAAGGGAUUUCUAAAGGUUUUUCAAACUUAUUUUACAACAGAAUACCCUGUCGUGAUUUUCUCAAGAAUAAAGGUUUUCUUCCAUGUUUUGAUACUCCUCCUUAGUUAAAGUUCCUACUUGAUAACGCUUUCACUUUGUGAUGCGUUUAUACCUAUUAUUACCUAUACUUCGCUUAUACUUGUGAUAGCUUAUACCCGUUAGACGCUCUUACUUCACUUGUAGUCGCUUCCAGUUCGUGAUAUACUUAUACCAGUUAACGCUUACACUUCACGAUCCGGUUAUUCCACACUGUUCGGUUAUUCAUCAUGAUACGAUUAAUCCACACUGUACAGGUAUACUUCACGAUCCGGUUAUUCCAUACGAUUCGGUUAUACUUCACGGUAUGAUUCCACUUGUUACACACUCAAGCAUAGUUAGAUGUAUGUUUGUGCUUGUUUAGAUGCAUAUAAAUAAUGAUUGAAGGACUUAGGAAGGCUUGUCCGCCCUAUUUCCUUUUCUUCGUUGAGAUGUGGUCUGGUGGGAUCGAAUGUCCAUCCGAAGGUCGUUUGAUUCAUUAGUUAUAUAUUAUGUACACAAGCAUAGACAUAUAGGUUUACAUUAGUCAGUUCAGUUAAGAGUCUCUACCACCAGUUCAGCACUUACAUUGGAAACCCUCUACCCACUAUUUGGGGUGCAUCUUCGGGACACGGCCUUCUCCGUCGUCUUGUUGGUAACCAGAGUCUCAUGUAGGGAGAGCGGACAUUGUAUGUAUAGAUCUAUACGGGAUUGACACCCCCGCACCCUGACUGCUAGCUAUAGUCCACGGCCUACCAAGCCAAGGGGUGACAAAUGUCAUAUUCUCUAGACGCUUGUAGGGCGUCAGGUACUCUAGUGUCGGUUAGUAUGGUUACGAGUAUCGGAGGUUAGCUUAUAAUUCAUGGCCAUAAGGUAAUGGCUUUUCACCAGCAAUUUACAUUGUAUGCUGGAACUCACUCUCGGAGUCACACUGUUUUAGACCUUGCUAGACGUAUCAUUCAUUUGAUACUGUCUGGGGUCUGCAUUCACUGUAUUCACUGUACUCACUGUUUUUAGACCUUGCUAGACGUAUCAUUCAGUUGAUACUGUCUGGGGUCUAUGUUCACUGUUUUAGACCUUACUAGCUAUACCUUUCAUUUGGUACUGUCUGGGGUCUGUGUCUCUUUCUGUUAGACUGAGCCAGGCGUGUCGUUCAUUCGAUACUCUCCUGGAGUCUAUGAUUCCUUCCGCCUUAGUCAGCAGUCCUCACUGCUGAGGCAUAUGUUAUUUUCCCUGAUAUUCUCCAACUUUCUUAAAAAGCAAAUCCCGUAUUUUGAAAAUGAAAGUGUUUAAGGGAAAACUACUUUUUACCACAUAACUCUGACCAGUCUUGGUAGAAGACUGCUUUUUAAUUAGAAAAUAGAAGAUUUUCUAGAAAGGACUCUAUUUCACUGUAUACUUGAAAUCUACCACAUAUAUAAAUUUAUUUGAUUAAAAUGUCACUAAAUGCUUAUGAUGUAACAACGUAAAUUUUCAAACAAAAUUUUCAUUUCAAAAUAAAGUAUUUUCAUUCAAACAAGGCAUAAACAUUCCAAGUGUCAUGUCAAAAUACAAAUCAUAUAAAUCCCAAGAUCACAAAACAUCUAUCAGUGUGUACAGAUCACGUCGGCGCCUUCCCACGGUCCCCGCUAGUACCUGAAACACAUACAUAACAACUGUAAGCAUAAAUGCUUAGUGAGUUCCCCAAAAUACAAGUUACGCACAUACGCCUUUCCAGGCCCUGACCUUCCGGUCCCUGUGUCUCAGGGGACUUCCGUCCCUGCUGGGUAAACCUUCCGGUCCUACCCACGCCAACCUUGCGGUUCACAACACAACGCCUUCCGGCCCAUAACAUAAUCGCCUUCCGAUCCAUAACAUAUUGCCUUCCGGCCCACAUAAACAUACAUAGCACGCAUAACAAUUAACUUAUCACAUAUAGCACAUAUAUCACAUAUCAUAUCCGACCUUCCGGUCACACAGUCAAACCCUUUCGGGUAGGGUAUAGUGAGAAGACUCACCUCGUGAAUAUUGAAGGCUAGCAAAUCCCGAAGUCACUCGUGCUCGAUCCGCCGAGCUACAAUCUCCCUAUAACAUCAUACAUCUCUUAUUAACACUUUUAUCUUCUAAGUUUGACUAUCCCUAAAAAGUCAACCAUAAGUCAACCCUGGUCAACGGUCAACGGUCAACUUGACCAGACCCGGCGAGUGCUAGGGCGACUCGGCGAGUCUAGACGUCCUCACCAAUUCUCUAAGAUUCCCUUUCUACUCGUCGAGUAUCCCCCUUAACUCGACGAGUUCCUCCUAGCAGAAUCGCGGGGCCACCCCGACUCAACUCGCCGAGUCUGAAGAACAACUCGGCGAGUCCCAGUUAAUCUUCAAGCUACUCGCCGUGUCUGUUCAUCGGACUCGGCGAGUCCAUGCCAUGCAACCGCUCAAACUGCAUCCUAAGGUCAGAACUGCUUCGACCAUUCCUAGGUCUGGCCUUCCUAGGCUGAUCCAUCACGUAAAGUCCUCAUUUCAGUGCUCAUGAUACACCAUAUGAUUCAUAAUUUACAUUUUGACCUAAGGCAUAAGGAUUCCAAUCCAAAACCUUCAUCAAUUCCCGAAAUGCACAGACAUGGGACAUUCUGGACCUCCAAAGGUCCCAAUACAGGGUUACAAUCGAUUAGGGGACUAGGGUAACAUUCAAUCUAUUCACAAAAGGGUUCCAUAAACCCUAAUUCCAUAAUCACAUCAACAUAGCAGAGUAUACUCGAAUUCUUACCUGGAUGAUGUAUCCUCUGUGUCCCCAAUCCUCAGAAUGUGACUCCCUUGCUGCUCCUUUAGCCAAUCCCUUCUCUUCCUUGCACAACCACUCUUCUAUAAUCAACAAUGGCCUAUAAUCCUUGCUCCAGAUGCACACAAUCGAUUUAGGGUUCUUCUCAGAAGGCUAAAAUGAACAAUGACGGCCAAUAAGUCCCUUUUAUACGUCCCAAACCUGAACGGUUAGGGUUUUCGCUAAACAGCGUAGACUCGCCGAGUCCAUAUCUGGACUCGUCGAGUCCAGUCGCGAACCCGCGACCAAGUCUGCGAUCCUACUCGGCGAGUCUAGGCUCCAACUCGCCGAGUCCCCUCUUAAAUCACCCCAAAAACAUAAUUUAACAAUACCUGAGAUUCCGGGCUGUUACAACUCUCCCCCACUAGGAUUAGACUUCGCCCUCGAAGUCUCACUCUGAAAAUAGUUCCGGAUGCUGCUCCCGCAUCUCACGUUCCGGCUCCCAAGUCAUUUCCGAUCCCUUACGGUGUUGCCACUGAACCAACACCAGAGGUACCUCCUUGUUCCUCAGAACCUUGAUCUUCCGAUCCCUGAUGGCCACUGGUCUCUCAGCAUAAUUCAGGCUCGCAUCCACCUGAAUAUCCUCCAAUGGAACCACUGCCGACUCAUCGGCUAUGCACUUCCUCAAUUGCGACACAUGAAAAGUGUCGUGGAUCUGUCCCAACUCCGCUGGCAACUCCAACCGAUAGGCUACCCGGCCUAUCCUUGCAAUCACACGAAAUGGCCCAAUAUACCGGGGCCCCAACUUGCCCCUCUUCCUGAAUCGAAUCACUCCUUUCCAAGGAGAGACCUUCAGGAGAACGAAGUCGCCGACUUGAAACUCAAGCUCGGAUCGGCGCCUGUCUGCAUAACUCUUCUGUCGGCUCUGGGCGGUCAAUAACCUCUGUCUAACUUGCUGAAUCUGCUCUGUCGUCUGAAGCACGAUCUCUGUGCUGCCCAUCACUCUCUGUCCCACCUCUCCCCAGCAAAUGGGGGUCCGACACCUCCUACCAUACAACAGCUCAAAAGGUGGCAUACCAAUGCUCGAAUGAUGGCUGUUGUUGUAGGAAAACUCUGCUAAGGGUAAAUAUGCAUCCCAGCUACCCCCGAAGUCUAACACACACGCUCGAAGCAUGUCCUCCAGCGUCUGAAUCGUCCGCUCGCUCUGACCGUCUGUCUGGGGAUGGUAUGCGGUACUAAAAUGCAAUUUAGUACCCAGCUCCUCAUGGAAUUUCUUCCAGAACCUGGAAGUGAAGCGCACAUCACGGUCUGAAACAAUCGAGAUCGGCACCCCAUGCCGAGAUACCACUUCUCUCACAUAUAUCUCCGCCAACUUCUCCGCUGAAGAACUCUCGCUGAUGGCAAGGAAGUGUGCACUCUUCGUCAACCUAUCCACAAUCACCCAAAUUGCAUCAACUCCCCUGGCAGUCCUCGGCAAUUUGGUGAUGAAAUCCAUAGUGAUCUGUUCCCACUUCCACUCGGGGAUCUCCAAUGGCUGUAACUUGCCAUGCGGUCUCUGGUGCUCGGCCUUAACCCUACGACAGGUCAAGCACCUCUCAACGAACCAUGCGACGUCCCUCUUCAUACAGGGCCACCAAUACUCUUUCCUCAAGUCCAAAUACAUCUUCGUAGCACCGGGAUGGAUCGAGAAUUUCGAUCUAUGAGCCUCUUCCAUCAAAGUAAUACGCGUACCGCCCACGAACGGUACCCAAAUCCGACCCUGAAACGUCAUAAGCCCUCGUCCAUCCUUAACGAACUCUGAAAUUAACCCCACAACCCGCUCUUUCUUCUGCAUUUCUGGUCGCACAGCCUCGGCCUGUGCCCCACGAAUAGCAUCCAAUACUGGAGUCAUCACAGUCAGUCUCAAGCAUACAUCUCGCAAUGGAGUGCUCUCCGCCCUGCGGCUCAACGCGUCGGCUACCACAUUAGCCUUGCCUGGGUGGUACAGGAUCUCACAAUCAUAAUCCUUGACCACAUCCAACCACCUCCUCUGACGCAUAUUUAGGUUGGGCUGAUCCAUCAAAUACUUCAAGCUCUUAUGGUCCGUGUAUAUCGUACAUCGAACCCCAUACAAGUAGUGACGCCAAAUCUUGAGAGCGAACACUACUGCCCCCAACUCUAAAUCAUGCGUGGGAUAUCUCGCCUCAUGAGGCUUCAGCUGCCUCGACGCAUAAGCUAUCACAUGACCCCUCUGCAUCAACACUGCACCCAGUCCCGAAAUCGAUGCGUCGCAAUAUACUACAAAAUCUUCCAUCCCUUCCGGGAGAGCUAAUACCGGGGCUUCGCACAACCUCUGGCGAAGUGUCUCAAAGGAGGUCUGCUGCUCGGGCCCCCAUGAGAAUGCAACACCCUUCCGGGUCAAUCUGGUGAGCGGCACUGCGAUCUUGGAGAAAUCCUUAAUGAAUCUCCGAUAAUACCCUGCCAACCCAAGGAAGCUCCUGAUCUCAGAGGGUGACUUCGGCACCUCCCAACUCAUCACCGCCUCAACCUUGGCCGGAUCGACCAAUAUCCCUUUCUGAUUAACAACAUGUCCUAGAAAUUGGACCUCCCGCAACCAGAAGUCACAUUUGGAGAACUUUGCAUAAAGCUUCUCCGACCUCAAUACCUCAAGGACCUCCCUCAAAUGCUCCUCAUGCUGCUCUCUAGAUCUCGAAUACACCAGAAUGUCGUCGAUAAAUACAAUCACUGACCGAUCCAACAUCGGCCUGCAUACCCUGUUCAUGAGAUCCAUGAACACAGCCGGGGCAUUGGUGAGCCCGAAAGGCAUCACCACAAACUCAUAAUGCCCAUAUCGCGUCCUAAACGCUGUCUUCUGGACGUCCUCAUCCCGCACUCUCACCUGAUGGUACCCUGACCUCAGAUCGAUCUUGGAAAACCAAGAUGCUCCCUGCAACUGAUCGAAUAAAUCAUCGAUCCUCGGUAACGGGUAACGGUUCUUGACCGUCAACUUGUUCAACUCCCGGUAAUCAAUGCACAUCCGGUGUGAACCAUCCUUCUUCUUGACGAACAGAAUAGGUGCUCCCCACGGCGAGCUGCUCGGCCGAAUGAAUCCCUUCCCCAGCAACUCCUGAAGCUGCGAGGACAACUCUUGCAUCUCUGGAGGUGCAAGACGAUAAGGCACCUUAGCAAUAGGCGCGGCCCCCGGAACCAGAUCGAUACCAAACUCUACUUGCCUCACAGGAGGUACUCCCGGCAGCUCCUCGGGGAAAACAUCUGGAAACUCACGCACCACUGGGACCUCCUCAACUGAUCUCGGUCUCUCGGAAACCUCCCGCGUAUCCAUCACAUACGCCACAAAACCCUUACAGCCCUGCUGUAGACACUGCCUCGCCCUAGCGGCCGAACAAAAAGCUGAUCCCGAACGGGUACCCUCGCCGUACACCGAAAGAACUCCCCCACUAGGGUCUCGUAUAGUCACCAGCUGACGCUCACAGUCGAUGACGGCGCCGAAUCGGCUCAACCAGUCCAUGCCCACAAUGACACAGACAUCACCCAUCGCAAUAGGAAUCAGAUCAAUCGGAAACUCAACCCCGAAAAUCUCUAACACACAUCCCCGGAGAACCUCCGUGGCACAAAUCACUCUCUCGUCAGCUAUAGAAACUCUCAGAGGCCGACUCAACGACUCACGACUAACGCUGAUAUGCUGACUAAAAGCCAAAGAUACAAAGGACCGACUCGCACCCGAGUCAAAUAACACUAAAGCAGGCACAGAGUUCACAAGGAAAGUACCUACGCAUAUCAUAACAUAAGCAUAACAUCUCAACAUCAAAAUAAAUACAUGAAAUAAAGCAUACCUGCCACAACAUCGGGCGCAGCGCGGACCUCCUCCGCAGUCAGCUGAAAGGCUCUCCCACGAGCCCUCGGGGCCUCGGCCUUCACCGGUCGAGUCUCAGUAGCCCUGGCAGUAGGUGCAGAUCCCUGAAGAAGCUGAGGGCACUCGGCCUUCCGAUGGCCUGUCUGGUUGCAAUGAAAGCAAACCAUAAACCCCUUGGGGCAAUCCCUAGCGAUGUGCCCCUCCUUGCCACACUUGUAGCAAGCACCAGAUCGACAUGUCCCCUCAUGACCCUUGCCGCACUUUCCGCAAGUGCGGCCCUUCGGACCUCCCGUCCUCGAAUCGACGGACUUAGUCCGCUUGGCUGCCGGCUGAGACUGAGCCGGCCGCCGGUCCACCCGCUGAGACUCGGCCUCCUCCCUGGCCUGGGUCUCCAACUCAAUCUCGCGCUUCCUGGCAUUCGCCUGAAGCUCAGCAAAGGUAUGAUAGGUGGAGUUUGACACAAACUCCCGGAUAUCCCUCCUCAAAACACCCAAGUACCGGCUCAUCCGAGCCUGCUCUGUGGACACCAGCUCGGGGCAGAACAUCGCCCUCUCAUGAAACUUCCGCGUGAUCACCGCAACCGAAUCAGUACCCUGCUUGAGGGUCAAGAACUCCUGAACCAAUCGUUCCCUCUCCACCGGGGGAACGUACUCGUCUCUAAACAUAGAGGUAAACCCCUCCCAUGUCAUUGCUGAAACCUCUGCCACAGUGAAGUUCGCCGUCACGAACUUCCACCAAUCCUUCGCUCCCAGACAGAGCUGGUUCAAAGCGAACCGUACCCUUAGAUGCUCCAGACAUGAACAAGUGUAGAAGCACCCCUCAAUAUCAGCGAUCCACCUCAUCGCAGCAAUCGGAUCCUGCGUCCCAUCAAACUCAGGUGGCUUCGUGUUGCUGAACUCCUGAAACAGCAACGAGUCACCCCCCUGUGGCCUGGCAGCGGCCACAGCUGCGGUAGCUGCAGCGGCUGCAGCCUCAGUCAAUGCGGCGUACCGCUCAUCAAAAGUCUCCAUCAAGGUGGUCUUAAUAGACCCAAACAUCUCCGGAAUCUCAGCCCGGAUCGCUGCAGCCACCUCCUCAUGAAUCAUCUGACGAAUCUCCUCGUCACUCACACCGCUCGAACUCGAUCCGUGGCGUGGUCUAACCAUGAUGUCUCUGAAAUACAACAUAAAACUAUCAGAGACUCCAUCGAGUAUAAUCGCACUCGAUAACGCAACCCUACUCAGUCUCCGAUAUCCAGGGAUUCUUACUUGGGUCUCCCACUGACCCGGUGUCUUCGGUAGUACGGGCCCAAUACUACCGACCACACCGCAUCAACAUUCAUCCCAAAUCUUCCUCCCCAAACCCCGGAUAAUGAGUACUCUACUUUUGAUAUGCAUUAUCUAUCUGUACGAUAUCAAAGCAUCUCAUAUCAGCAAACUUCCCUAGACUAAGGCAUCACAAAUCAGGCCACUCUAGUCCUAUCAUGGAUACCUAGUCUUCUAGCAUGCAUAACAGUUCACAUCAUAUCUUAUCUCUUAACAUAACAUUGUAAGGUAUUUUGGGGAUCUUUACCGUUCGGGCGCUGACUGAUCGUACACACUGCUUCUUUCUUGUUUACCACAAAAUCAUUUACAAAAGUUUAUGCCUUUAUUUUAAAAGUUUUCCUCAAAUCCUCGGUUUGAGUUCAGUUACGCCCGAAGGUGCACCCGAAUCCCUCAAACCAAGGCUCUGAUACCAAUUUGUAACAACGUAAAUUUUCAAACAAAUUUUUCAUUUCAAAAUAAAGUAUUUUCAUUCAAAUAAGGCAUAAACAUUCCAAGUGUCAUGUCAAAAUACAAAUCAUAUAAAUCCCAAGAUCACAAAACAUCUAUCAGUGUGUACAGAUCACGCCGGUGCCUUCCCACGGUCCCCGCUAGUACCUGAAACACAAACAUAACAACUGUAAGCAUAAAUGCUUAGUGAGUUCCCCAAAAUACAACUUACGCACAUACGCCUUUCCAGGCCCUAACCUUCCGGUCCCUGUGUCUCAGGGGACUUCCGUCCCUGCUGGGUAAACCUUCCGGUCCUACCCACGCCAACCUUACGGUCCACAUUACACGCCUUCCGGCCCAUAACAUAAUGCCUUCCGGCCCACAUAAACAUACAUAGCACGCAUAACAAUUAACUUAUCACAUAUAGCACAUAUAUCACAUAUCAUAUCCGACCUUCCGGUCACACAGUCAAACCCUUCCGGGUACGGUAUAGUGAGAAGACUCACCUCGUGAAUAUUGAAGGCUAGCAAAUCCCGAAGUCACUCGUGCUCGAUCCGCCGAGCUACAAUCUCCCUAUAACAUCAUACAUCUCUUAUUAACACUUUUAUCUUCUAAGCUUGACUAUCCCUAAAAAGUCAACCACAGGUCAACCCUGGUCAACGGUCAACGGUCAACUUGACCGGACCCGGCGAGUGCUAGGGCGACUCGGCGAGUCUAGACGUCCUCACCAAUUCUCUAAGAUUCCCUUUCUACACGUCGAGUAUCCCCCCUGACUCGACGAGUUCCUCCUGGAAGAAUCGCGGGGCCACCCCGACUCAACUCGCCGAGUCUGAAGAACAACUCGGCGAGUCCCAGUUAAUCUUCAAGCUACUCGCCGAGUCUGUUCAUCGGACUCGGCGAGUCCAUGCCAUGCAACCGCUCAAACUGCUUUCUAAGGUCAGAUCUGCUCCGACCAUUCAUAGGUCUGGCCUUCCUAGACUGAUUCACCACGUAAAGUCCUCAUUUCGGUGCUCAUAAUACACCCCAUGACUCAUAAUUUAUGUUUUGACCUAAGACAUAAGGAUUCCAAUCCAAAACCUCCAUUGAUUCCUGAAACACUCAGGCAUGGGACAUUCUGGACUUCCAAGGGUCCCAAUAUAGGGUUCCAAUCGCUUGGGGGACUAAGGAAACACUCAAUCUAGCCACAAAAGGGUUCAAUAAACCCUAAAUCCAUAUACACAUCAACAUAGAAGAAUGCAACUCGAAAAUAAUACCUGAACAACGUUGCUCUGUGUCCCCAAUCCUCAGAAUGUGGCUUCUCUUGCUGUUCCCUUAACCAAGCCUCCUCCUCCUUGCAAAAUAACACUUCCAAGAUCAAUAAUGGUCUUCUACCUUGCUCUAGAUGCUCACAAUCGAAUUAGGGUUUCACUUACAGGACUAGGGUGAACAAUGACGGCCAUAAGGCCCCUUAUAUAUGUCCCAAACCUGGACGGUUAGGGUUUCGCUAAACAGCGCGGACUCACCGAGUCUAUGCCCCAACUCGUCGAGUCCAGUCGCGAACCCGCGACCAGAUCCGCGAUCCUACUCGGCGAGUCUGAGCUCCAACUCGCCGAGUCCCCUCUUAAAACACCCAAAAUCAUAAAUAUAACAAUACUUGGAAUUCCGGGCUGUUACAUAUGAACUCGGUGCAUUUGUAAAAAUGCUGAUACUCGCUUUUCAAAUAAUUUGUAUUCUCAGGUUAGCAUUAAACAGGUGCAUCCCCGGAGCUGUUGAUGAAGACAGCUUAGUACCAUGUUGUACUUACUUAUUUUACUUGUAUUACUUUGAUGUAUUGUAAUGUAAAACUAUUACUAUUAAUGCAAUGGUUGUUGUACUUUGAUUACUAUAAUGCAUGUGUUGUGAUACUUGACAUGACGUCAUCCACCCCAGAACGUUUCCGCCGUUCCGGUUUUGGGGUGUGACAAGGAUGGCCGGCACCCUCGCAUUCUAUUUAUAGGGUGCUGAAAGAGGGAUUACGCUGGGCGUAAAUUCGGAGUACGUUGGGCGUAAUUUCGGAGUACGCUGGGCGUAAUUUCGGAGUACACUGGGCGUACACAACAUCAGCGCUUACCGCAUCCUCGGGCGGAGCAUUGGAUGGGACCCGGAGCGACGUGGAUGAACCGAGGCCUAGCACUCAGUACACUGGGCGUACGAGGGUACACUAGGCGUAAUCGUUUAGGUGUGUGAGCCUUGAACUUGUAAAAUCUGUAACUUUCUCAUACAGGCUCCGUUUUUGACGUUCUUUAUAUCCACGCGAAGGUGAGAAAAUAAUCUACAACUUUCAUUUAGACUCCGUCAGCAAGUUUUGACUUUAUUUUUAAUUAUAUCUUAAUUAAUAGGCCGGGACACGAUAACUUCGUUAAAAAUCCAUAACUUCUUUAUCCGACGUCGGUUUUCGUUUGUCUUUUUACCAUCGAACUAUUAUUGUCGAGACCUUCAACUCUCGUUUAUGUUGUGUCGGCUAAAAAUUGCUUGAUCUUUAUUUCGAGUUUUUAGCUGUCUACCGCUGUUACGAAACUUAGAAAAUUUGUAUCUUCUUCAUACGAAGUCCAUUUUGGGCGUUCUUUUUAGGCAUGAUUAUGGUUUAACGUAAUCUACGACUUUUGUUUAGAUACCUAAGGCUAAAAAUUAUUGUAUCGAAACUUUGUGUUUUACGUCUAUCAGCGUUGACGGUUUUUGCCGUGAAUCUUAGAUUGGUCAUAACUUCUUCGUUAUAACUCGGUUUUUGCCGCGUACUUUUUGGAUGUUCUGAAUGUCCUUCACUUCUCGGCACGUCUCGGCGAUGUGUGCAAGGAAUGCAUGAUAUUCCUUUCGUAAGUAUUUCUGAGCUUGCAUACAUGAAAUGAUGAGAGGGUUCGUACUUGGUUCGUGGCUGUAAAUAACUAGGGCUUCGCUGUUUAGGGAGGUUAGGACGAACUGCUUUAUCAAAGCAUCUGAUGUCGGCUCGAUGUAGACUUAACCAACUCGUACUGAUUAUGAUGUCAAAAAUUUUAGGGUGGAUUAGCUGUCGUGAAGAUCUAAAAGAAAGUAUGACUACUCAUGAAUUAGGGAAAAGGAUAGGUAUUUCUAAGUUUAUUCUCACCGAAGCACGAUCACUUGCAGUCUUGGGCAGUCUAUGUCCUGAAGUUCAUAGUAGAACUCAUACCUGGUUCAUCAAUCACAGUCUCGGGUAUACGAGUCGUAUAUAAUUAAGAUUGAAAAGGUGGGUCUUUGGAUUGAACUUGACGUAAUGCACGAGUGGUACUUCAGGGAGGUUUGCUGAGGUUUCUUUGGAAAGGAUAAGAAACAUGAGGUACUCUAUGCAUGAGUACUUCGGUGUUCUGGAAUAACGACUUCGCUAGAAAGACGUUUUUGGAGACGGAGAAGUACGUACGAAACUGGUAUUGCGAGGAUCGAAUUGAGUUAAGUUGUAUGAUGAUAUCGGACUUACUUGGAAAUAAAGGUAUUAGAUUGGAUCAUAAGGGUGUUACAGACAAAACACAACAGUGCAACUUUUAACAGAGUUACAAUACUUUGGUUUUACUACAAGACUAUUGUUGCGAACAAGGUAUACUACAAAAGGCAAGUAUAAGUAGCACGAGGGUCCCCUUUACUGACGGGAUAUCUCAAAAGGUAAGACUCGAGUUGCACUAGUUUUAAACAUGUUUAACAACAUACUUAAUGUUGACGAUUGGAAGUGAGUCCCUAUUAUAGUUGGGUCCUUUAUUGCCUUUUUCCAUUCUUAGGUCAAAUUCCUCCUGUUCCACUGUCGUUCUUCUCUGUUGGGCAAUCCCUCUUGAAGUGUCCCAUUAAACCACAUAGAUGGCAUAUCCGAGAAAUUUAGACAUUGGUGGUUGAAGUAAUGUGUUUGACUCGAGUCCUUCAUAAGCGGGUAGUGUGUCCGUUCUUGUUGCAGGUCUUGCAGUGUAACAGACGACAACUACCUAGGUGAUGGAAACUGCACUUAUUGCAAUUCGGUAGGUUUCCAAUAUACUGUCUGGCCGAGUUAGGGAUAAUUGGGAUACUAGUAGUGUUGGUGGUAGGAGUUGCAGAUGUCGUGGCUGCAAAGGCUGCCACUUGUGAUGGUCUCUUGUUUAUCCCUCGAGGUGAUUUUCCUUUAACUUUAUCCCAGGUUUUCGUUUAUUACUCUUUGGUUUGAGGUUCAGAGUGUCGUGGUAGUUUGUUACCCGUGGGUGUACUUGGUUGUUACUUGGAUUGGAAUUAUUGAAAACCAUCCCGCUAACAUUUGCGUUGUUAGCGUUAAGGUGAGUCGAACAGCUGUCACUACAGGUGAGACUACAGCUUGAAAGGUAGCUGCAUCAAUCUGAAAAGUUGGUGUUUGGCUGAUGGGUUGAUUACUUUUCUUCGGCGACAUGAUUCUGUAACACGAAAGAAAAAGGAUCUUGUGAGCGAUUUUGGUUGACCCUAAAUGUUCUUCGAUCACUUAUGUAAAGAGUAAGAGUAUGUUCUCGAAAGUUUGACCUAUAUCCCUAUGAUGUAGUCCUAGUACAGAGUAGAAGUAUGUUUGUAGAGUGGUCUUAAGACGUUUGUCGUUCAAGCCGAGGUAUCGUUGGUUGGAAAAAUAACAUGAUCCCACCACUAAAAGGGACUUCGAAAUGUCUCCGGAGUUAAAUUUCCAUAGUCCAAUGACUUGACUAAAGCAUGUUUCAGAUAGACUCCAACGAAGGUAUGAUGAGGGUUUUUGAACAAAGAGUGACACAAAAAUUAGCCGACUGUCAAUAUCAUCGAUGUUUAAGAUGUAAUAAGUUUUAGGAAAAUUUGAUCUUGAAGAAGGUCUUACAUUAUAUCCGGAGUAGAAAGGUUUUGGCCGCAUAAAGGCCUAACUAACAGUACUUACAGUACAAGAUAGUUACAUAGAAAAACGCUACAUAAGACAUACACAGGGAAACGAUUCCUUUAAACAAGGAAGGGAAAUAAAGCAUUUCUUACUGGCGGCGGGCAUCCUUCUAGCGAACUCUCAGUUCAGCCAAUUGACGUUUCAUAUCAAGCAGGUAUCUUUCGUACACUCUCUGGCGUACUCAUAGCUCUAUGACUUCGGCUCGUGUUUUAGCUGAUGCUUGCAGCAAGGUCUCAUGGUCUCUCUCAAAUCUCUCACGAGUGUUUUCAAGACGAUUGGUGUAGAUGGUGUGCAUUCUUGCAUUGGAAUUUAACCUCCUCGGUAUAAUGGAGAGUCGUCCUGCCCUGAAUUUUGUUUCGAGCAAUUCUAUGGAUCAGGAUUGGUAGAACUUUGCCUGCUGAGCUCCCUUCGCUUAAGUUGUAGCAGAUUCGGUCACCUUUAGAUGGCAUAGGUUGAUCUUGCUCUCCGCUCCAUGUUUCCAAGCAUUCUACCCAAGGAAGCGUCGAGCCUUGAAGAGCUGGACGAGGGUUAGGAUUUGAAUUGGGAGUUACCGAGGGUAGGUUCUCAUCCUCGGGUUCGGAGUUUUCAUCAUCCGAAAGGUCUUCAGCAUGGUGAUCAUUCAAAAGGGAUUGGAUGAUCAUUCUCUGGUUCUUUUCUGAACCAUCUCGCAUUGCCUUCGUUCGGGAAGUACGGGUCGUCGUGGGGAUGGGGUCCAACCAUGUUAUCUAUGCGAUAAUUGGGGUAUAAGAAUCUAACACAUAAGUAGUUUAUAGUAAUACACAAAAUACUCCUGUAGUAUUUUAGGUUUAUGUUCUAUUGUUCUCAUUGUGGUAUUGUGGGUAGGUUUUUAGACUUGUUGCAACUCACAACCACACUUAGGCACAUGCUAGUCAACCCUCAGAUAAUAUAGUUGAUCAGGCUAUAUCAUCCCAGUUUUGACUAUAUGUCUCUAAGUCUACUUGUUUUGCCCAACAAUCGUAAUACUUUUGUUCUGUCCUAGUGACACUGAUUUUAGUAUAAAUGUAGGCAUGUAUGCUCAAUUAAAUAUUUUAUUAUUUUAAAAGUAUAGACUCUUUAUCAGAGUAUUUUAAUCCCUAUUGUAUUUAUAGUCUGUAUAUCUUUUAUGGGUUGAUAUACUCAAUUCACUAUAAACAAUGCUCUGAUACCAAUCUGUCACACCCCAAAACCAAGAACGGUGGAAACGUUCUGGGGCGGAGGAUGUCAUGUAAUGUAUCACAACAAUGCAAAGUAGUAAACAAGCAACAACAUCAUCCAUUGCAUUAAUAGUAUAAUUUUAAUUACAUUGGAGUUCUUUCAUAGUAUAAUUCUACGAAAUGAAUAUUCAAAAUAAAAGACGAGUCUUGACCGCUCCGUCUUCACAGAACCUGGUAGUCGUACCUGUCUAUCUGUGUCCUAGGAAUACAAGUUAUUUUGAAAGCGAGUAUCAGCAAUAAUGCUGGUGAAUUCAUAAGUAUUUAUGUGACUUUGAUUUGUAAAGCUGUAAAGAAAGACAUGUAAAUGUUUGAAGGAAAGUUUGUACCAAUGAACAUGUUUGUAAGUAAUUGUAAACGUUUGAAAACCCUAGAAAAUCCCAUAUUUUCUACUAGUAUAAAAAGUAACCUUCUACCAAGACCCGACUGUUUUGAAUGUUCGCUUUUAGCAAUCCAAUAUUUGCUUAUAAGUGGGUGGUAGUUUAAAAGUCCCAAAAAUGAACUACCAUGCUGUUUUUCAUGUCUAAAAUACUAGAUUUGUGUACGUAUAUAAUCACUAAGGUAUUUGAUAACCCCGUAAAUCAACGUGUUUUUAAUACUCCAUGUGAGUUUUAUAACCAUGCUAAUGACCCAGACUGCCUGUAACAACGUUCUUCAGGUGUUGGAAAGUUAUGACGUUUGUCACCCUAGACUUGCCGGUCUAACUGUAGCUAACAUUUUAGGUGCGAGAUUGUCAAUCCCGUAUAGAUCUAUACACAAGUAUCACGCUCCCCCUACAAGGGAUUAUGGUAUAUAAUACAGGACUUAAUAAUGCAUACUCGAAAGUUCGUGAAACGUCUCACAAAAGCUAGUAUAAAACAGAUUUACGUAUAAAAAUGUCCAUUUGUUCUUGUAUAUGAAAUAUCUCUUUGAUAUGGUACUUGUAAUAUGUAAAAUUUCAUGAAUAUCUAGUACACUAUCUUAUGUAAUCGUAUCUCUUGUAAUUGUAUGUCUUAAAAUUGUAUGUAAUCAUAUCUUUUCAUAUAGUAUGUAAUGUAUUUGUAUAGACUCAUGAAUAAACUGACUCUUGUGUGAUCCCUGGUACUUGGGAUGGUAAGUAGUAUCUCCUAACUAUACCUAUUAUAAUUUCUAGUAUUAUAUGUGUAAAACCGAAAUACGCCUUUGCUACUCAAAGGUACUGAACCAACUGACGGAAACUUUUAUGUCUAUAUAUGUACUUAUGAUAUAUAUAU